rnacentral:rRNA from 1 species
GAUGAACGCUGGCGGCGUGCCUAAUACAUGCAAGUCGAGCGAACGGACGAGAAGCUUGCUUCUCUGAUGUUAGCGGCGGACGGGUGAGUAACACGUGGAUAACCUACCUAUAAGACUGGGAUAACUUCGGGAAACCGGAGCUAAUACCGGAUAAUAUUUUGAACCGCAUGGUUCAAAAGUGAAAGACGGUCUUGCUGUCACUUAUAGAUGGAUCCGCGCUGCAUUAGCUAGUUGGUAAGGUAACGGCUUACCAAGGCAACGAUGCAUAGCCGACCUGAGAGGGUGAUCGGACACACUGGAACUGAGACACGGUCCAGACUCCUACGGGAGGCAGCAGUAGGGAAUCUUCCGCAAUGGGCGAAAGCCUGACGGAGCAACGCUGCGUGAGUGAUGAAGGUCUUCGGAUCGUAAAACUCUGUUAUUAGGGAAGAACAUAUGUGUAAGUAACUGUGCACAUCUUGACGGUACCUAAUCAGAAAGCCACGGCUAACUACGUG